rnacentral:lncRNA from 1 species
UCUCGCUGUUCCCGAAAAGGAGGAAAGGAUUUGGGGCGGGCAGUCCUGGAGCCUCUCGCUGGCCUUACGGAGAGGGCUGGGGUGGAGGAGAGCCCUGGGGAGCAGGCAGAGGUGGGUUGGCGAGGACCUUGUGUGACUUGUGCCGAGAAACUUCACUUAUUCCCUGGGGCUGGCAGUUGCCAAACUGGGUCUUGUAGAUGCUAAGUCUCCGUAGAGGUCUCUUAGUUUGGUGACAAGGAUGGGACACCUUGAGUGAGCCUUUCCACUGGGCAAAUUGGAGGAUGUGUAGCCAUCUUCGGUGAGACAAGAGGCCCUGUUUGCUGAAGUCUUUCUUCAACACUUUGACUCAGCAGGCACUGAGACAUCAAAGCAGCCAAGUGCCACCCUGACGUUGAGCCCGCCGAGUGCUGCGAGGCUGCUGCUGUUGGCUCUGCGUGAUCAGGAGAGCGGAGAUCAAAGGUGCCCAUUAUGUGCUGAAAUACCUGAAGUUGGAAAACACCACAAGAAAGCCAUGGUCAGCCUGGAGAGAGGACCCUGCCAGCUGCACACCCAGGGAGGACUGCUCAGGCAGCUCCACAUGCUGCCAGCCUUGCGUGAAAGGUGAGCUUGCGAUUUCCAGUUACAGAAGGUGCCACUUCAUGUUGCGACCCCGGGUGGCCCCAGUCACCCAGUAUCCUCCCUUGAGGCCCGUGCAGGCUCCACUCCCAUCACUGGGCACUUCCUCUUGCCUCCACCUGGCCAGCUCCUCACGUCCCUCGGUCCUUGGCUGGAAUAUCAUUCCCGGGACUGUAGGGCAGUGUUUUACUGUGGCCAUGGCGACUAUAUGAAUACACUGUGGGUGGUCGCUUGCCCAGCUCUCCCACCAGACCUGACCUCAUGGUGUGUGGGAACCCAGCCUUGCUCACCACCAUGCCCCAGCCACAGGUAGAGUAGAUGCCCCUAAAUCUUUGUUGGAUGAAUGAAGGAGUGAAUGAAUGAAGGAGUUAACUGAAUCAGCAGCUUCAGGAAAGAGGAGGAGGUGAACGAGAUGACCCCAGGUGACCUGAAGAUGCCCCAACGACACCUCUCCCUGCUCCACGACCUGUUUUGGGACUACUGCAGAUAGCGUAGACAGGAUUUCUGACAGGUGCAGGUCUUCCCUCAGCUCCCAUGCAGCCCCUCAUGGAAGCCUGCCUCUUUUUAAUGGGAGGUAUGGAUGGAAAUGGCCAUUCACUGAGCCUCUGGAAGACAUCAGGGUGGAAACUGCUGUUCUGUACUAGUGGGGCUAAGCUGAGUUUCUGAGGUAAAGUCUCCGUUUACCCUAGAGGUAUCGGAGCUGGGAGCUCCGCUCAGAUUUGAUUCAUUUGGGAGCUCAUGUGAUGUUCCGGUCUAGCUUCCGGUGCCCUCAUCCUGACCCCGGGCAGGUGGCAGCUGGUGUGGCAGGCUUGUGACACGUCAGGUUGUCCACAACGUCCUGCCCUCCCAGAGCUCAGCCACAGGUCGGGCUGUCCACAAUGUCCUGCUCUCCCAGUCGCUCAGGCUCAGGUGCCCUCAGUUUCUAGCCACCCUUUGCCUCUCAACAUCUAACUCCCUGGGCCAAAGGACAAUCUCGACCCCUUGGUGUGGCCCCAUGAGGCCAGGAACCCAGC